rnacentral:rRNA from 1 species
CCUACGGGAGGCAGCAGUAGGGAAUUUUCCACAAUGGGCGAAAGCCUGAUGGAGCAAUACCGCGUGCAGGAUGGAGGCCUUCGGGUCGUAAACUGCUUUUAUGUGCGAAGAAUUUGACGGUAACACAUGAAUAAGGAUCGGCUAACUACGUGCCAGCAGCCGCGGUCAUACGUAGGAUCCAAGCGUUAUCCGGAAUUACUGGGCGUAAAGAGUUGCGUAGGUGGCAUUAUAAGUGGAGCGUGAAAGCGUGCGGCUCAACCGCAUUAUUGCGUUCCAAACUGUGAAGCUUGAGUAUGGGAGAGGUAGAUGGAAUUUCUAGUGUAGGAGUGAAAUCCGUAGAUAUUAGAAGGAACACCGAUGGCGUAGGCAGUCUACUGGCCCAUUACUGACACUAAGGCACGAAAGCGUGGGGAGCAAACGGGAUUAGAUACCCCGGUAGUCCACGCUGUAAACUAUGGAUGCUAGCUGUGACACACAUCGACCUCGUGUGUAGCGAGUAACGUACGUAGUCGAUCCGCCGUCGGG